AUGAAACAGGCUUGGCCCGCCGCCCCUGGGACGCGAAGUCCAUGCAGUUGGCUGUGCAUCCCUGCCCCUGGAACCCCUCUGCUGCUGCUGGGUUCCAGCCACCCCGACUUUGCCAUCAACCCCCUGCCAACCUUUUAGAGUACCUCUGGGCCACAAAUUGAAAUAUGAAGAGAAACAAGAAAAUGGACCCUCAGCAUCACAAAGAAGGCUUCAUUAUGCAAGAAUCUCUUAUGUUUGUCCUGUCUAGGAGAAUGCAUUUGACAAGGGUUUUGGUGGCUCCUUGAAAUGGUUUUCCAUGGCCAGUACGUAGCAGUCGCUUGAUAAAUAAGGU